UACGGGAGGAGCAGUGGGGAAUAUUGCACAAUGGGCGAAAGCCUGAUGCAGCUAUGCCGCGUGUAUGAAGAAGGCCUUAGGGUUGUAAAGUACUUUCAUCGGGGAGGAAAAACAAAACUAAUAAUUUUAUUUCUUGACGUUACCCGAAAAAGAAGCACCGGCUAACUCCGUGCCAGCAGCCGCGGUAAUACGGAGGGUGCUAGCGUUAAUCAGAAUUACUGGGCGUAAAGAGCACGUAGGUGGUUUUUUUAAGUCAGAUGUGAAAUCCCUGGGCUUAACCUAGGAACUGCAUUUUGAAACUGAAAUACUAGAGUAUCGUAGAGGGAGGUAGAAUUCUAGGUGUAGCGGUGAAAUGCGUAGAUAUCUGGAGGAAUACCUGUGGCGAAAGCGGCCUCCUAAACGAAUACUGACACUGAGGUGCGAAAGCGUGGGGAGCAAACAGGGAUUAGAUACC
rnacentral:rRNA from 1 species